rnacentral:rRNA from 1 species
AAACUUUCAACAACGGAUCUCUUGGUUCUGGCAUCGAUGAAGAACGCAGCGAAAUGCGAUAAGUAAUGUGAAUUGCAGAAUUCAGUGAAUCAUCGAAUCUUUGAACGCACAUUGCGCCCAUUAGUAUUCUA